rfam:Anaerolineaceae bacterium 4572_78 ex4572_78_scaffold_239, whole genome shotgun sequence.
GUCAACUACCCACCGAGCCCGUUAGGCUCGGUGGUCCUGCGAAAGCAGGACCAGGUUGAUUAGCUUCAGCCACCAAUCUUCGGAUUGACGGGGCUACGUUUGGAGCGAAUGAUAUAGGCACUACGGGAUGAGCCAAGUCCCGUACUCUGCGUGCCGCGACUAGAAGGGUAGGCAAAUUGUUGCGGCUGAAAACCGUUUUCAAACAUUAGAGAUGGCACCCACAG